CUUUGGGAUAACCCUCGGAAACGGGGGCUAAUACUGGAUAUGACCUUCUGCCGCAUGGUGGGGGGUGGAAAGUUUUUCGGCCUGGGAUGGGCUCGCGGCCUAUCAGCUUGUUGGUGGGGUGAUGGCCUACCAAGGCGGUGACGGGUAGCCGGCCUGAGAGGGCGACCGGCCACACUGGGACUGAGACACGGCCCAGACUCCUACGGGAGGCAGCAGUGGGGAAUAUUGCACAAUGGGCGGAAGCCUGAUGCAGCGACGCCGCGUGAGGGAUGACGGCCUUCGGGUUGUAAACCUCUUUCAGCUCCGACGAAGCGUAAGUGACGGUAGGGGCAGAAGAAGCGCCGGCCAACUACGUGCCAGCAGCCGCGGUAAGACGUAGGGCGCGAGCGUUGUCCGGAUUUAUUGGGCGUAAAGAGCUCGUAGGCGGCUUGUCGCGUCGACUGUGAAAACCCGGGGCUCAACUGCGGGCUUGCAGUCGAUACGGGCAGGCUAGAGUUCGGUAGGGGAGACUGGAAUUCCUGGUGUAGCGGUGAAAUGCGCAGAUAUCAGGAGGAACACCGGUGGCGAAGGCGGGUCUCUGGGCCGAUACUGACGCUGAGGAGCGAAAGCGUGGGGAGCGAACAGGAUUAGAUACCCUGGUAGUCCACGCUGUAAACGUUGGGCGC
rnacentral:rRNA from 1 species